CUGCAGGCAUGUGGCUGUAGUUCCUGAAUCAAAGCUGCUCAGUAGCACUCCUUUGGGCACCUGUUGCCUUGCCAUCAGAUGGAUGGAAUGAAGAAGUAUGGGAUGAGCGCAGCAAGGACUCUACAAAAGGCACAGGACAGCAGCUGCUUACUGUGACAACUUACCUCCAGCUAAGUGGAAAGAUGAGCAGCUGCUUGCAGAACCAAAGCCAAUCUUCUGCCUGGAUCAGUUGGCGAUGGUUCCUGUGAAAGUGAGGGCUGCAGUAAACGAUAUGUACUGAAUUAAUUGUACCUAUCACCAACCUCUUUCCAAAACUUACUGGGAAAUAUAUCUAUUUCUGCAACAACAAAAAAUCACCCACUAAUCAUCUUUUGAAGGUUAAAGAGAUUUAGAAAAUCAGAUCAGUCUAUUCAUAGGAGCUAUAGCACAGCUGAUGAGUUUAAAAAAAAUUCAAAUUACAUUUGUUUCCUUUCAAAAUGCCUUCAGUCAAGUUUUUCAGAAAGUGUGUGUAUGUGCGUGUGGCUUCUUGGGGUUGUUUUUUUUUGUUGUUUGGGGGUUUUUUUUGUUAUCCUGGUGUUUUGGGGAUGAGUCAUCUUGUGAUUCAUUCUAUUCAGCUGCAUAAAUAAUAUUGCAAAUCUGAUAGAGGAAUAAGCCGGCAUUCAGUAAUAUUUGGAUCCUUGCCCUCUCCUCUAGCUAAGGGUCCCGUCCCCCGCCACCCCCCUUUAUCAUUCUUCUCUUUGGACUUCAAGGGAGGUUGAGGCUCCUCCAAAUCCCAUAACUUCUUGGGUGUGGGCAGCUUGUCUAGCCUCUUAACAGUGGGAGUGGAUAGGCAUGAAUUCCUGUUGUUCUUUCCUCUAACAUGACUCAUUAAUUUUGGAGGCUCCAGACAAUUGAUUGCAGCAGUUCAAAUAUGUCAAAAUACUACAGGGAUCCCCAUGAUUCACUCUCAGGAUUAAGGACUUAGAUGGGAGGUUGGGGGUUGUCUCGUGGCAAACUGAAAUACCAGGUACAAAAUCUUGCUUUUUAAAAUGUCUUCCAACAAACAUUUUGGGGGAAAAUUAACGUAAAAAAUAAAACUGACUCCCUAAUUUUGGCACUAAUUUGUUAUAUGGGGAUGCAGAAUAAUAUCUCCUGCGGUAAUAAGAAAAGGAGGGGAGAAAGCAGAAAGAAGCAAUUGACCUGAAAGUAGUUUGUUCCUGUAAAAGGGUUCAUACGCAGCCAAACUAAUGUAUGUAUAUUCUGUACAUUGCAUGUUCUGGCUGGGGUCACAUCUCUGACACUGUUCUGUUAUACUGGUAUAAUUAAGACUUGUCUUGGAUGGCAACUCUGUAGAGACAGCAAGUGAAUAUAGAGGUUCUGGGAGCCAAAAAAAUGUUGAACUUGUUUGCUGCAUGAUGCAGUAAGAUGUUUCAAAUGACAGAGUUAUUAUUCUUAUUAGAAAUAGUACCACCCAUCUUUCCUCAGAGAGAGACAGAGAUCUCCCAAUUGCUCCUUUCUUUAAUCCGAUCAUGGUGUUGCUUUUCCACUGAUCAGUUUCUGAGAGCUACAGAAAUACUUCAAGUAGGUGCCAGCUUCUCCUGACAAUCUCAAGUCAGAUUUUGGAGCUUGGUUAUUUGUGAAAGGGAUUCAAAGUCGUGGCUUCCUACCUUUGCAGGCAAAUGGACUCCAAGAGCCAGGAGGCGCUUUCUAGUUCCUCUGCCAGGAAGCCCUCAGAGUAGGAAGACAAGGAGGAGGAACUUUAUAGAAACACUAUUUAUCCAGUCCAAAGAGAAAUGAAAUGGGAACUCUAUCAUUGCUUUAAUAAAAGAGGGGAGUGAUAGCCCCUUUCCAGAGAGCAUCUUUAGUUUAAGGAAAUAUACCUAUUCUUAUGCUAGAUGAGGAAUUUCCAUAGGCCCAGUGCUCUUUAUUUCUCAACUCCAAAGUUAAGGGUCAGUCCAUUCUCACUGUUGGGGGGGUUUUCAGCACUACUCUGGGAUUCUUCCACUUUUGUUCCAGCCCUGUCUGAUCUAUCUGAUUGGCAUCUCUGGAGAAACAGGAUAUUUCAGCAGGUCACACAUUGCUUUAUGAGAAAGCAAGCUCAUGGGCUGUUCUUGAAGACUUCAUGGCCAGGCACAGACAUUAUACAUUUGCCAGAAUAAGUGAUCUGAAACUGGGCUAUACCCAGAACAGAAGUUCAGCACAAAGACUGGCUUAAAAAUGAUAGACCCUGGUCUAGGAUUCAAUCUUCCUCUCUCCCUAACCAAAUGCCAGAUGUGUGUUUUGUUAGCUACUGAUCUAAACUAUACCGCUUACA